AAGGUUAACCGAAUAGGGGAGCCGAAGGGAAACCGAGUCUUAACUGGGCGUUAAGUUGCAGGGUAUAGACCCGAAACCCGGUGAUCUAGCCAUGGGCAGGUUGAAGGUUGGGUAACACUAACUGGAGGACCGAACCGACUAAUGUUGAAAAAUUAGCGGAUGACUUGUGGCUGGGGGUGAAAGGCCAAUCAAACCGGGAGAUAGCUGGUUCUCCCCGAAAGCUAUUUAGGUAGCGCCUCGUGAAUUCAUCUCCGGGGGUAGAGCACUGUUUCGGCAAGGGGGUCAUCCCGACUUACCAACCCGAUGCAAACUGCGAAUACCGGAGAAUGUUAUCACGGGAGACACACGGCGGGUGCUAACGUCCGUCGUGAAGAGGGAAACAACCCAGACCGCCAGCUAAGGUCCCAAAGUCAUGGUUAAGUGGGAAACGAUGUGGGAAGGCCCAGACAGCCAGGAUGUUGGCUUAGAAGCAGCCAUCAUUUAAAGAAAGCGUAAUAGCUCACUGGUCGAGUCGGCCUGCGCGGAAGAUGUAACGGGGCUAAACCAUGCAC
rnacentral:rRNA from 1 species